CCUACGGGCGGCAGCAGUAGGGAAUCUUCCACAAUGGGCGAAAGCCUGAUGGAGCAACGCCGCGUGGGGGAUGAAGGUCUUCGGAUCGUAAAACCCUUUUGUUAGAGAAGAAAGUGCGUGUGAGUAACUGUUCACGUUUCGACGGUAUCUAACCAGAAAGCCACGGCUAACUACGUGCCAGCAGCUGCGGUAAUACGUAGGUGGCAAGCGUUAUCCGGAUUUAUUUGGCGUAAAGGGAACGCAGGCGGGCUUUUAAGUCUGAUGUGAAAGCCUUCGGCUUAACCGGAGUAGUGCAUUGGAAACUGGGAGACUUGAGUGCAGAAGAGGAGAGUGGAACUCCAUGUGUAGCGGUGAAAUGCGUAGAUAUAUGGAAGAACACCAGUGGCGAAGGCGAGAACUUAGGCUAUCACUGACGCUUAGGCUCGAAAGUGUGGGGAGCAAAUAGGAUUAGAUACCCCGGUAGUC
rnacentral:rRNA from 1 species